ACUUGUUACAGCACCUGAGGCUGAAAAAAGCUGUUCAAUGCAUUGUUGAACGGAAUUCCGCUUGCGUAGAACCAAAUCUGCUUGAAUUCGGGCAAGCGUCAUGUCCUCACUGAAGCACGACGAAAGCACCGUGAGGGCUUGCGCAAGGUCCCCAUUCGAUGGCCCCACAGCACACGGUACGCUCUCCUCAGAGUCAGAGUCAUCUUCCAAGGACGCGAGUAGUUGAUUAACAAUUUCCUCGUCAUUAAGUUCGGCACAGGACACUGUGACACUAAUCUGCGCGCUGCAGCUUCGCAGAUUUUCAAUCAGCCCAUCUCUGCUCACAUCCGGCAUAGUAGCCGGCAGUUCAGGUGCAGGGUCCUGCACUUCAGCGUCCAACUCAACGCCAGCAGCAAAUCCUGUGGGGCGGAAACAGUCGUGGAUUGUGCCUGCCAGACAUCUGCAAGAAUGUAAACGACUGACAACAAAUCUACACUGUAACUUUUGCCACUGUCGACGCACAGCACCAUGCGAUGUAGCAGGCGUGAUCAGUGCAACACUUCCAGAUUCUUGAUGAUGCCCUGAUCCAUGGGCUGGAGGAUGCUCAUGGU
rnacentral:lncRNA from 1 species